ACUUUAGUUCUAGGAAGUCAGCGUGAAACGCCUGAAGUUUUCUGCCUCCAGACUCUACUCUCCUGCCUCAAUUCUACUCUCUACUUUUAUAAGCUCGACUCACAUGUAAGUGAGAUCAUGCAGUAUUUGUCUUUUUGUGCCUGGCUUAUUUCACUUAGCAUAAUGUCCUCUGGAUUCAUCUAGGUUGUUGCAAAUGACAGAAUUUCCUUUUUUAAAAAAGCCGAUUUGUGUAUAUAUGUAUGUGUGUGUAUAUAUAUGUAUAUACAUAUAUAUAUAAAACACAUUUAAAAAUUCAAUUCAUCUGUCGAUUUGCAGUUCAGUUACAACCUAAAGUUAUAAAUGUGAUGAGGAGUUUUUUUUAAAAACCUAGGGGUACUAGUGCAACAAAUUUAAAUAUUUUUUUAAACUGAAAUAGAACAAUAUUUAAAUAAAUAUCAAUUCUUAGGGAUAAUUAGUACUCUUUUCUUGCUAACUGUAACGUUUUCCAACAAAUAUUUAAUAUUGCCUUAUAUGAGAGGAUACCGUGCCAGAUUCUUGGGAGCAACACAACCUAUAAAUUGUGAUUUUUGUUUUUAAGCUCAUUAAAUAUAUGGUGGAAAGAACAUGCACUUAAAACAAAAAGGUUAAAAAAUGUGUUUACUUAAGCAUUUGUUUCAGUAUGAAGUUCUCAGAGCACCUGCAUUAAAUUCACCUUGGGCAUUUAGUUAAAAUUCAAGUUUCUUGUCUCCAGUCUAUCCCAAUUGAAUCUCAGUCUCUGGAGGGAUGGUUUUGGAAUUGGAAACGUUUUAAAGCACCCCAGGUGAUUCCAAUGUUCACCAAAGUGCUAAUACCCUUGGGGUCGAGCAGUGCGAAAUGACCUCCAGCUGGGGCUGUUUCAUAGUCAUGGUUGUACUUCACCUGGACCUUAAUUGGUGGUUUGGAUCUUCAGAGGUUGAGAUGAGAGCAGGGGAUAUUACAAAAGGUUGCAGGAUAUGAACAGCAUGCCAUCUUAUCUUCUUUCGGAAGAGUGAGUAUUUUGGUUUGUCUCAGGUGUGGUGUUUAAAAACUACUGAAAAAUUAAGUUAGGGUCAUUUUGAGAGUGUCCUUGGUUUCUUUCUAUGGAUAAAAAAGA
rnacentral:lncRNA from 10 species